CUCCGCCGGUCAGGAGAGCGUGCCCGCACAGGGCGCCGCCGAAGGCGCAGGAGACCGGGCCGCAUGUCGCGGGAAGGUCCUGAACGCUCAGGCAAAAGGACUGGCAACCACCG
rnacentral:ncRNA from 2 species